rnacentral:rRNA from 1 species
UGGGGAAUAUUGCACAAUGGGCGCAAGCCUGAUGCAGCCAUGCCGCGUGUGUGAAGAAGGCCUUCGGGUUGUAAAGCACUUUCAGCGGGGAGGAAGGCGAUAAGGUUAAUAACCUUGUCGAUCGACGUUACCCGCAGAAGAAGCACCGGCUAACUCCGUGCCAGCAGCCGCGGUAAUACGGAGUGUGCAAGCGUUAAUCGGAAUUACUGGGCGUAAAGCGCACGCAGGCGGUCUGUCAAGUCGGAUGUGAAAUCCCCGGGCUCAACCUGGGAACUGCAUUCGAAACUGGCAGGCUAGAGUCUUGUAGAGGGGAGUAGAAUUCCAGGUGUAGCGGUGAAAUGCGUAGAGAUCUGGAGGAAUACCGGUGGCGAAGGCGGACCCCUGGACAAAAACUGACGCUCAGGUGCGAAAGCGUGGGUAGCAAACAGG